UACGUAGGGUGCAAGCGUUGUCCGGAAUUAUUGGGCGUAAAGAGCUCGUAGGCGGUCUGUCGCGUCUGCUGUGAAACUCAGGGCUUAACCCUGAGCUUGCAGUGGGUACGGGCAGACUAGAGUGCGGUAGGGAGACUGGAAUUCCGUGGUGAUAGCGGUGAAAUGACGCAGAUAUCAGGAGGAACACCGGUGGCGAAGGCGGGUCUCUGGGCCGUAACUGACGCUGGAGGAGCGAAAGCCAUGGGGAGCGAACAGG
rnacentral:rRNA from 1 species